CCACAACCCAUCGUCCUUGUGCAACAUAGUGAAAUGUGCUCUGCGUUGCUUCUAGACCACUCUUGUAACUUAUCCACAUAACAUGCCUCAAGGACUUUACAUCUUCCAUUUCUCUUUGGCCUCCAUGUGAUUGACAAAGAGCUAAGAACCUGUCGGAUCUACGAAGAGACUGCUCC